rnacentral:rRNA from 1 species
AGCAGCCGCGGUAAUUCCAGCUCCAAUAGCGUAUAUUAAAGUUGUUGCAGUUAAAAAGCUCGUAGUUGAAUUUCGGGGUCAGUAGGUUGGUCAUGCCACUGGUAUGUACUGGUCUCACUGAUUCCUCCUUCCUGAUGAACUGUAAUGCCAUUAAUUUGGUGUUGCAGGGAAUCUGGACUGUUACUUUGAAAAAAUUAGAGUGUUUAAAGCAGGCUAACGCCUGAAUACAUUAGCAUGGAAUAAUGAAAUAGGACGUUCGAUCCUAUUUUGUUGGUUUCUAGGAUUGACGUAAUGAUUAAUAGGGAUAGUUGGGGGCAUUAGUAUUCAAUUGUCAGAGGUGAAAUUCUUGGAUUUUAUUGAAAGACUAAACUACUGCGAAAGCAUUUUGCCAAGGAUGUUUUCAUUAAUCAAGAACGAAAAGUUAGGGGAAUCGAAAGACGAUCAGAUACCGUCGUAGUCUUAACCAUAAAACUAUGCCGACUAGGAAUCAGACGAUGUUAAAUUUUUUAAUUGACUC